CCUACGGGCGGCAGCAGUGGGGAAUAUUGCACAAUGGGGGAAACCCUGAUGCAGCGACUCCGCGUGAGUGAAGAAGUACUUCGUUAUGUAAAGCUCUAUCAGCAGGGAAGAAAAUGACGGUACUUGAGAAAGAAGCCCCGGCUAACUACGUGCCAGCAGCCGCGGUAAUACGGAGGGGGCAAGCGUUAUCCGGAUUUACUGGGUGUAAAGGGAGCGUAGACGGCAGUGCAAGACAGGAGUGAAAGGCGGGGGCUCAACCCGGGGACUGCUCGGGAAACUGGACGGCUGGAGUGCAGGAGAGGGAGGUAGAAUUCCAGGUGUAGCGGUGAAAUGCGUAGAGAUCAGGAGGAACACCGGUGGCGAAGGCGGCCUCCUGGACGAAGACUGACGCUGAGGCGCGAAAGCGUGGGGAGCAAACAGGAUUAGAUACCCUAGUAGUC
rnacentral:rRNA from 1 species